CACGGAGGGCGCGAGCGUUACCCGGAUUUACUGGGCGUAAAGGGCGUGUAGGCGGUCGGGGGCGUCCCAUGUGAAAGGCCACUGCUCAACCGUGGAGGAGCGUGGGAUACGCUCAGGCUAGACGGGGGGAGAGGGUGGUGGAAUUCCCGGAGUAGCGGUGAAAUGCGCAGAUACCGGGAGGAACGCCGAUGGCGAAGGUAGCCACCUGGCUCACUGGUGACGCUGAGGCACGAAAGCGUGGGGAGCAAAACGG
rnacentral:rRNA from 1 species